GUACCGGUGAAGAUGCCGGUUACCUGCAGUUAGACGAAAAGACCCCGGAAGCUUUACUGCAACUUGGCAUUGAGGAUAUGUUUUUACUGCGUAGCAUAGAUGGGAGGAUUUGAGAUAUCUUUUUCGGGAGAUGUUGAUCCGUCAGUGAAAUACCAUUCUGUGAUGACAUAUUUUCUAACCUCUCGCGUCAAACGCGAAAGAGACAGUGCCUGGCGGGCAGUUUUAGUGGGGCGCUAUCCUCCUAAAGAGUAACGGAGGAGCCUAUUAAGGUCAGCUAGCCGUGAAUGGAAACCAUGGCGAUAGUGUAUAGGCACAAGCUGGCUUAACUGCAAGACGUACAUGUCGAGCAGAUGCGAAAGCAGAGCUAAGUGAACCGAUCGUACGCGUUAGACGCGGCGAAAGAUUAUCGGACAAAAGCUACUCCGGGGAUAACAGGCUGGUUCCGCCUAAGCGUCCAGAGCGACGGCGGAGUUCGGCACCUCGAUGUCGGCUCAACUUAUCCCGGGGGUGGAGAAGCUCCCAAGGGUAUGGCUGUUCGCCAUUUAAAAAGUUACGCGAGCUGGGUUCAGACCGUUCAGAAUAAAAUGAAAAGAUUCAAAGAAGCAAAGAAGGAAAAAUUAAUCUUUCCAUCUUUAAAUCUUUCCUUCUUUCAAUUGUAUUUUGAAUAAUCUGAAUCCUCAGAGGAAAUUGAAAUUAAAAUCAUAAUGUUAUAAGUUUUUUUGUUAAGUAAAAAAGAUAAGAACAAUCAAAUCACGGCGGUCUUUGAUAUUUAAAAUAUUGAAGAUUAAAGUUGACUAUAUCGGUGAAGUCCUGAGAGAAGUCGAAGGAUAAUACCGAGGGAAGAGGUCGCGAGUACACGACAUAAGUGUCGCUUUCGCUCCCUUACCUGUAGAGACUGAACGUCAACAAUGUGCGCAAGCACAAAAAGCUACAGUCCAUUGCACAGAGUAAUCUGUGGUAACAAGCGUGAGACAGGUUGGUCUCCUAUCUACUGCAGGCGUUGAUUCUUGAGGGGAUUUGACGAUAGUACGAGAGGACCUCGUUGAACCGACCUCUGGUGUACCUGCUGUUCUGCCAAGAGCAUCGCAGGGUAGCUAAGUCGGGUUUGGAUAACCUCUGAAAGCAUAUAAGAGGGAAGCCAACCCCAAGAUUAGGAAUCGUUAAGGAUCGUGAGAGAUGAUCACGUUGAUAGGCGCUAGGUGUAAGCACUGUAAAGUGUUAAGCCGAGGCGUACUAAUUUUCCGAUUC
rnacentral:rRNA from 1 species